rnacentral:lncRNA from 1 species
CCUGGGUGACAGAGUGGGACUCUGUCUCAAAAAAUAAUUUUAAUGAAACCUGCCUCCCAAACAUUAUAUUGCAGCAAUCUUAGAAGAAUGCACCACCUCUGGAAUAGAGAAGCAGUUGGGAAAGAAGUGUUUCAUGUUUCCUACACCUGGGCAACAGGCAGGCCCCUGACAACCACAAGUAAUUCUUUCCUGAGAGCCGGGAUCUUGCAACAGCUUGUCAUUAGUGCUGUUUAGCAUUUAAUUUGCCUUUAGUUAGGUAACAAGCAUUUAUGGAUUACCUGUUAGGAACGAAUGCACAGUAUGGGAACAGAGGGAUGAAUGAGGCACAGACUCUGCUCACAGCCUACUUGGACUAGAAAUAUCUACUCAGGAAAGAAAACUUGAAAGCAGUUAGCAAAUGCAAACCGAUAUACCACUACAGGGAAUCAUCACUCUUUCCGAAUUCAAGGCUCUAACUGCUGGCACACUUCUAAGGAAAAAAGAUAUGCGUUUCUGCAUCCCGUCUCAUGAUGGGAGUGAAGAUAUGCCAGUCACGCCUUCUGUGGGCUAAGGAACGGUCCGGCCUUCUCUUCCUCUGCAGAGUCCGGGCGUGAUGGAGACGCAGGAUGGAGGCAGCCAUCACCCAUUGAAAAACAGCCUGUCUGCCAGAUCUGGUGACCCCCCCCUAAGGUCCUUGGUAAAAACUGAGGCCUAGUUGUGUCCAGGAUGGCAGUGAGCUGGGAUUCAUUCAUGGCAGCCCCCAGGAGAUUGCGUUUUUAAACCAGCCCAAGGCAUGUGGUGGACAUGGAUUGGCAGCACCUACAGAUAACGGGGAAGGCUUUCCAAGGGGCCAAACGGUCCAUAGCAGUUAGGGAAGCGAACGUUAGAAGUGCAGGUCAAGGUCUCAGAGUGAGCAGUGUGGCUGGGCCAGAGAGGGCCUUCCAAGUGCAUAGCCAGUGGAGGCAGCUGGACACAGCUGACAUGACAAGGCAAGGCUGGAUCCGUCAGACUCUGGGAAUGCUCCCAGCCAUCAGGCUUCACGGAGCACUGCUUCUGUGCUAAGUUCCUGAUGCCAAGGAAAGUGAGAGAGACAUGGCCCUGGCCUCAAGAAGCUUUCCCGGCAGAUGGCCGUGUAUCCGGGAUAUGUUAAGGGAGGUGUAAUAUUAACCAAAAGUGGAGCUCUGAGCUCCUACCCUUGGCAGAGGGCUUCUUGGAGUAGAUCAUGCCUGGACUGUGCCCAAGGGCGUCUUGGAGUAGAUCGUGCCUGGAUCGCACUGAAUCAGUGUAAGCUGGGUCAAGUCGGGGAAUGGCAACCCAGGCGGAGGGAAGUGCAUACUUGGGACACGGAGGGCACAGACAAGCCGUGGUUCUCUGGCAGUGAGAUGGGUGCCAGGCCACAAACUGGAUCUGAGAGAUUAUUUCCCCAUCUGGGAACUGCAUGUACUAUGGAUUGUAAAGGGUCAACCUGAGAGACAGAAACAGGGAAAAGGCCCUCAACCAUUCACUUCAGUGUCUGGGGAUGCGUGGACUGGGGAAGAGUCUCUGGCUGGCUCCAAUGCGGUCUCUGCUUCUGCAGAGGGGGCCUUGCUCACACAGUCUUCAGACUUGCAUUCCCAGCUGGUGCCCAGCACCACGAAUAUAUGGGAAGAUAACAACUCUAAAGAGGGAUAAAAUGUAUUUUUUGGUCGGUUUUUAUUUUUCAAACACAUUUAGCAUUCUCUGGUUUUUAAAAAAUGCUUUUAAUAGAGCACAGACUCCUUUCCUCAGUGGUGAGGAGACAGAUUUAAGGGCUGUAGCUCAGACAGUCAGUGCCAGCUAGCAUUCAGGGAUCCAAGUGUGAGAAUCAAAUUGUCGUUUGAUGUGUGGAUUUGGCAAAGGCUCAGCACGCCUUGGAGACGGUGCCCGUGGCCCACACUGGGUGGCAGGUGCUUCUGCCUUGGGCUCUCUGCUCCUGCCGGCCGGGCCUGUCAUCGGCUGAAAAGCCGGCAUCUCCCACACCCAUCAGCUCCUCUCUGGAGCUGAGUCGCUGGACACUGUGACCACACUUAAGAGGCACAGCAUGCUCCUGCUGGGUGGAAUUUUAGGACACCUGGUCUGUGACCUCUUCAUUAUGACAUAAAAGGGACCUUCCCUGCAGUCCCACAAAUAGGAACAGAGCAGCACUGGAGCUGGCGCCCGACUCCCGGCAGGGAAGGGUUCUGUCCUCAUUUGGGCGUAUUCUGUUUCUGCCCACCUGGUGUGUGCCCUCCCUGACUCCUGCCCCAUUUCCAGACCCGGCUCACGCGUACUUCUCACACUAAGCAGUCUCACUGAAGCCACCGCUUGGAAUCUGCGGUGUUUACUGUCUGCCCCGCCCCUUUUGUUUGCCCGUUUGUUAUGGAGGUGUGUGUUUAAACGGGCAAAGCAGCGUGCUGCCAGGGACACCAGGAAAGCCCACUUAGCCAUCAACUGGAGACUCUGACAACUAGAAGAAACCUGGAAGGCCACGUGACAGAUAUGGAGACAGGCUGAGAGAAGAGUGGAAGAGGAUGUCAAUGGGCAGGAAUGGAGCCAAACUCUACGGGAGAACGGAGCUGGCCAGGCAGAGCUGCUGGACACCUGAGGCUCCCUCCUUCCACCACAAACACCACUGCCCCAUGGCCUAGAGAGAACCAUCCUCUGACGUGAGCAGGACAAUGACGAUCACCACUGUGUAAAUCCUGACACUGGACCAGAGGAAUUGACUUACCUGCUUCAGCUCCAGGUGAGCACAGCCAGAACCAUGCUCAGAAGCCAGCACACGAAGGCCUGCAACUGCAGACCCCUAAGAAACCUUGGAGAUGCUCUCAGACAGUGCCCACCUCACUUUGCAGAUGGAGUGACUCACAGCUGGGACAAAGGUCCACUCGCUCUUGCCCCUGCAGUCUACCCACAAAGCAGCCAGGAGAGCUUCUAAAAAUGCAAAGCAGGUGGCGUUCUUCUGAAUAAGCCCUCCCAUGGCUCCCUAUCUUAGUACAAAAGCUGAAAUCUCAUGACCUGUGAGGCCCUCCAGCUGGCUCGCAGCCACCCCUCCAAAACCGAGUGCCUGCCAGCGCAUUGCCCACCCAGCUGCAGCCAGGCCCCCCACUGCUCAGCACCAUCUCCUCAGAGGCCCCCCCAUUCUUCCACGGGCAUGUUCCCUAUCCCCUUAGAGCACGCUUGGGCCUGAACUGAUCUUGGGUUCUGUCGCCUGUCUACCCCACUGGAAUGCAAACUCCACAGAGGCAGGGCUUUCUCUGUCCCCUGCCGCAUCCACAGUGCCGGGAACAGUGCCUGGCAUGGAGCAGGUGCAGUCGAAUGACCGACUCCAUGAAGUGAGGUGAGUCACCCACCACGCAGGGAAGAGUGGACAUGGGUAAACAGGCGCUGCCUGGGCUCCAGGCACACUGACUGCAUCCUGGCUGCUUGACUGAUGUGGUUAAUAAAUUACUAGAAGGCAAGCCCUCUAGGGCACAGCAGACUGGAUACUUGAUUAACCCAGGGUCUGUGUUAAUUCCAGGUGCCAAAAUAAUUUCUAGAAUUUCACCUGAGACCUAGAGGUAGUUCAUUUGAAAAUAAACAUGAUUUUCCAGAAGGCUCGAGCUUUCUCAAGGAAAGCAAUGCCCUGGACUCUCCUUCCACAGGAAAUCAGGAAGACAGGCUUUGGAAUUCCCAGUGGGGAAGCACAGUUGGAGGGGCCGGCCUCGGGCACCACAGUGCGCAACGCUGAACACAGGGCUCCCAGGCAGAGACUGGGAGGUCCCGACACCUGGACCCACAGGUGCACCCGCAUCUCCCAUGCUUUUACCCUUUCUCCUCCACCCCAUUUAUAGAAGUGAUCAGAGGUGAAUGAGGAAAUAGUGGGGGAACUGACCCCCUGGAAAGUCUGAAUUUGAGUGAAAUAAUGGGGAGAAGUGAACCCCUGGAAAGUCUGAAUUCUGCUUCAUCAAAGCCCAACACGGGCCUGUUUCCCUCUGCUGUCAACCCCAGGGAAUGGGGUGUCAA